rnacentral:rRNA from 1 species
UACGUAGGGUGCAAGCGUUAAUCGGAAUUACUGGGCGUAAAGUGUGCGCAGGCGGCCGCGCAAGUCGAGUGUGAAAGCCCCGAGCUUAACUUGGGAAUUGCGCUCGAAACUACGUGGCUGGAGUGUGGCAGAGGAAGGUGGAAUUCCAGGUGUAGCGGUGAAAUGCGUAGAGAUCUGGAGGAACACCGAUGGCGAAGGCAGCCUUCUGGGCCAACACUGACGCUCAUGCACGAAAGCGUUGGGAGCAAACAGG